rnacentral:rRNA from 1 species
ACGAACGCUGGCGGCGUGCUUAACACAUGCAAGUCGAACGGUGAAGCGCCUUCCUUUUGGUGGGUGUGGAUGAGUGGCGAACGGGUGAGUAACACGUGAGUAACCUGCCCCCUUCUUCUGGAUAACCGCAUGAAAGUGUGGCUAAUACGGGAUAUUCUGGGUCUGUCGCAUGAUGGGUCUGGGAAAGAUAUUGUUUCGGUGGGGGAUGGGCUCGCGGCCUAUCAGCUUGUUGGUGGGGUGAUGGCCUACCAAGGCGGUGACGGGUAGCCGGCCUGAGAGGGUGGACGGUCACACUGGGACUGAGACACGGCCCAGACUCCUACGGGAGGCAGCAGUGGGGAAUAUUGCACAAUGGGCGCAAGCCUGAUGCAGCGACGCCGCGUGAGGGAUGGAGGCCUUCGGGUUGUGAACCUCUUUCGCCAGUGAAGCAGGCCUGCCUCGUUUGUGGGUGGGUUGACGGUAGCUGGAGAAGAAGCGCCGGCUAACUACGUG